rnacentral:rRNA from 1 species
AGAGUUUGAUCCUGGCUCAGAAUGAACGCUGGCGGCGUGCCUAAUACAUGCAAGUCGAACGAGAAACGGUGUAGCAAUACAUGCAGUCUAAGUGGCGCACGGGUGAGUAAUGUAUAGUUAACAUGCCCUUUGGACGGGGAUAACAGUUGGAAACGACUGCUAAUACCCGAUACUCCUGCUUUAUUAAUUAGAGCAGGGAAAUGUCUUUUCGCCAAAGGAUUGGACUAUAUCGUAUCAGCUAGUUGGUGGGGUAAUGGCCCACCAAGGCUAUGACGCGUAUCUGGUUUGAGAGGAUGAUCAGACACACUGGAACUGAGACACGGUCCAGACUCCUACGGGAGGCAGCAGUAGGGAAUAUUGCACAAUGGAGGAAACUCUGAUGCAGCAACGCCGCGUGGAGGAUGACGCAUUUCGGUGUGUAAACUCCUUUUAUUAGGGAAG